GGUACCAACUUUGCCUGGAAGAAAUGAAACGGAAUGGGAAUCGUACUGGGACUCAUGAGGUGUGACUAAAUCAAAAAUAUCAGUGGAAGCGUGUAAGAAAAGCACCAACUUUUGCUCUGUUCUAGACUCUGAUUUCACCGAGUCUGCCUAUUCCCACAUCUACGGACGGCUGCCACUUCCCACCGGGGUACCUCCCCCCACCCCCGCCCCAUCCGCGUGCCAUGUACGUGGGGGAGUGGGACUAGAGGUCAAGUAAGGUCAUGCAAGAAGGAUUAAUCAUG